AUUGAACGCUGGCGGCAUGCCUUACACAUGCAAGUCGAACGGUAACAGGUCUUCGGAUGCUGACGAGUGGCGAACGGGUGAGUAAUACAUCGGAACGUGCCCAGACGUGGGGGAUAACGAGGCGAAAGCUUUGCUAAUACCGCAUACGAUCUAAGGAUGAAAGCAGGGGACCGCAAGGCCUUGCGCGUUUGGAGCGGCCGAUGGCAGAUUAGGUAGUUGGUGGGAUAAAAGCUUACCAAGCCGACGAUCUGUAGCUGUUCUGAGAGGACGACCAGCCACACUGGGACUGAGACACGGCCCAGACUCCUACGGGAGGCAGCAGUGGGGAAUUUUGGACAAUGGGCGAAAGCCUGAUCCAGCAAUGCCGCGUGCAGGAUGAAGGCCUUCGGGUUGUAAACUGCUUUUGUACGGAACGAAAAGGCUCUGGCUAAUACCUGGGGCACAUGACGGUACCGUAAGAAUAAGCACCGGCUAACUACGUG
rnacentral:rRNA from 1 species